rnacentral:misc_RNA from 1 species
GGGAAGGUACACAGAACA